GACGAACGCUGGCGGCGUGCUUAACACAUGCAAGUCGAACGGAAAGGCCCUGCUUUUGUGGGGUGCUCGAGUGGCGAACGGGUGAGUAACACGUGAGUAACCUGCCCUUGACUUUGGGAUAACUUCAGUAAACUGGGGCUAAUACCGGAUAGGAGCUCCUGCUGCAUGGUGGGGGUUGGAAAGUUUCGGCGGUUGGGGAUGGACUCGCGGCUUAUGAGCUUGUUGGUGGGGUAGUGGCUUACCAGGGAUUUGACGGGUAGCCGGCCUGAGAGGGUGACCGGCCACAUUGGGACUGAGAUACGGCACAGACUACUACGGGAGGCAGCAGUGGGGAAGAAUGCACAAUGGGCGGAAGACUGAUGCAGCAACGCCGCGUGCGGGAUGACGGCCUUCGGGUUGUAAACCGCUUUCGCCUGUGACGAAGCGUGAGUGACGGUAAUGGGUAAAGAAGCACCGGCUAACUACGUG
rnacentral:rRNA from 1 species